rnacentral:rRNA from 1 species
GUGCCAGCAGCCGCGGUAAUACGUAGGUGGCAAGCGUUGUCCGGAAUUAUUGGGCGUAAAGCGCGCGCAGGCGGUUUCUUAAGUCUGAUGUGAAAGCCCACGGCUCAACCGUGGAGGGUCAUUGGAAACUGGGGAACUUGAGUGCAGAAGAGGAAAGUGGAAUUCCACGUGUAGCGGUGAAAUGCGUAGAGAUGUGGAGGAACACCAGUGGCGAAGGCGACUUUUCUGGUCUGUAACUGACGCUGAGGCGCGAAAGCGUGGGGAGCAAACAUGGAUUAGAUACCCUGGUAGUCC